UACGAAGGGGGCUAGCGUUGCUCGGAAUCACCGGGCGUAAAGGGCGCGUAGGCGGUCAGCACAAGUCAGUUGUGAAAUCUCCGGGCUUAACUCGGAAAGGUCAACUGAUACUGUGCGACUAGAGUGCAGAAGGGGCAACUGGAAUUCCCGGUGUAGCGGUGAAAUGUGUAGAGAUCGGGAGGAACACCGGUGGCGAAGGCGGGUCUCUGGGCAUUUCCUGACGCUGAGGCGCGAAAGCGUGGGGAGCAAACGGG
rnacentral:rRNA from 1 species